rnacentral:rRNA from 1 species
AGUGAACGCUGGCGGUAGGCCUAACACAUGCGAGUCGAACGGCAGCACAGUAAGAGCUUGCUCUUACGGGUGGCGAGUGGCGGACGGGUGAGGAAUACAUCGGAAUCUACUUUUUCGUGGGGGAUAACGUAGGGAAACUUACGCUAAUACCGCAUACGACCUACGGGUGAAAGCAGGGGAUCUUCGGACCUUGCGCGAUUGAAUGAGCCGAUGUCGGAUUAGCUAGUUGGCGGGGUAAAGGCCCACCAAGGCGACGAUCCGUAGCUGGUCUGAGAGGAUGAUCAGCCACACUGGAACUGAGACACGGUCCAGACUCCUACGGGAGGCAGCAGUGGGGAAUAUUGGACAAUGGGCGCAAGCCUGAUCCAGCCACACCGCGUGGGUGAAGAAGGCCUUCGGGUUGUAAAGCCCUUUUGUUGGGAAAGAAAAGCAGCAGGUUAAUACCCCGCUGUUCUGACGGUACCCAAAGAAUAAGCACCGGCUAACUUCGU